rnacentral:rRNA from 1 species
AGCGAACGCUGGCGGCAGGCUUAACACAUGCAAGUCGAGCGGGCACUUCGGUGUCAGCGGCAGACGGGUGAGUAACACGUGGGAACGUACCCUUCGGUUCGGAAUAACGCUGGGAAACUAGCGCUAAUACCGGAUACGCCCUUUUGGGGAAAGGUUUACUGCCGAAGGAUCGGCCCGCGUCUGAUUAGCUAGUUGGUGGGGUAAUGGCCUACCAAGGCGACGAUCAGUAGCUGGUCUGAGAGGAUGAUCAGCCACACUGGGACUGAGACACGGCCCAGACUACUACGGGAGGCAGCAGUGGGGAAUAUUGGACAAUGGGCGCAAGCCUGAUCCAGCCAUGCCGCGUGAGUGAUGAAGGCCUUAGGGUUGUAAAGCUCUUUUGUCCGGGACGAUAAUGACGGUACCGGAAGAAUAAGCCCCGGCUAACUUCGUG